rnacentral:rRNA from 1 species
UACGUAGGGAGCAAGCGUUGUCCGGAAUCAUUGGGCGUAAAGCGCACGUAGGCGGCUUCGCAAGUCGGAUGUGAGAUCCCUCGGCUCAACCGAGGACGUGCAUACGAAACUGCGGAGCUUGAGUGCUGAAGAGGAUCGCGGAAUUCCCGGUGUAGAGGUGAAAUUCGUAGAUAUCGGGAGGAACACCAGUGGCGAAGGCGGCGAUCUGGGCAGACACUGACGCUGAGGUGCGAAAGCGUGGGGAGCAAACAGG